rnacentral:misc_RNA from 1 species
UACGGAGGGGGCUAGCGUUGUUCGGAAUUACUGGGCGUAAAGGGCACGUAGGCGGAUUGUUAAGUCGGAGGUGAAAUCCUGAGGCUCAACCUCAGAAUAGCCUUCGAUACUGGCGAUCUCGAGUACGGGAGAGGUGAGUGGAAUUCCCAGUGUAGAGGUGAAAUUCGUAGAUAUUGGGAAGAACACCAGUGGCGAAGGCGGCUCACUGGCCCGUAACUGACGCUGAGGUGCGAAAGCGUGGGGAGCAAACAGG